AUCUUGCUAAUUCUGUGACGUCACAUCAUGUCUCACUAAGGAUUGUGGGUACUUUCGAGAGUUCACUGUAUGUUUACAGCGAAGCAAGACUGGUAACCACUUGUGAUGUUGCCAAGAAUUCUUGACUACAGGUCAUUGUCAACUUAAACGGACGGAUGUUUGCGAACAUGGAGCAGUGCCAUGCCAUGUCCUCACUCGAGUUAGCGGAACAGAUAAAACAGACACUUGUAGAACUGGCCUCCGAAGAACUGCACCGCCAUGAUGCUGCAGAUGAGCCAGAACACAAGGCACACCAGUAACACGUUGAAGAUGGACGGGAUCGCUUGAAGGAGAGCGUUCACCACAACCUACCAAAACAACAACAAAUAACAGCACGAUAGCAGCCGGGGAUGCCACAAACUAUCUGCUACAUUCAAUGCACUGAUCAACGAGUCUUCAAGCAGUAUAAAAGAACGUCAUGGAAGAAGUAGAUUCAUUCCUUGACUGGUGUCGUACAGUGGACAAUUUGAUUCUCUGUGACUGUGUUGGAAUUUACAGUUGAAAGAUUAUUCUCCAUAAGGUUUGAAUUUUC